CCGCCCCGAAACGAUGGCUUGCUGUACCUCCCGCGCGGUGACGUCACGCUCAAGUAUAUAAGGACGCCGGGCAACGCAGACAUCACCAGUCUCUGCCGAGUCUUCCCUCACCAAUGGCUUUCAAGGUUCUCCUCCUCGCUGCCGUCGCGGCCCUGGCUGCCGCCGACCGGGCUCCUUCCUACAGCCCGCCCCGCCCCACCUACAGCCCGCCACAGCCGUCCUACGGCCCCGCCGAGCCCACCGCCCCCGCCCAGUACAACUUCAACUGGGCCGUCAAGGACGACUACUCCAGCAACGACUUCGGCCAAGAGGAGAACCGUAACGGCUACGACACCCAGGGCUCCUACUACGUCCUCCUCCCCGACGGCCGCCUGCAGCGCGUCUCCUACACCGUCAACGGCGACUCCGGCUUCGUUGCCGAGGUCAGCUACGAGGGCGAGGCCCAGCCCAGCUACAGCAGGCCCCAGCCCACCUACCAGCAGCCCCAGCCCCAGCCCACCUACAGCAGGCCCCAGCCCACCUACCAGCAGCCCCAGCCCCAGCCCACCUAUGGUUAACGCCAUCACCCCCAUCACCCACUGACAGAGUAUAUAUAUUUUUCUAAGCUACGCUAGUAAGGCCUCGUGUGUAUUUAAGAGAUGCAAUAAAAGUGCUCGAUAACCCAUGGCUCGCUUGACUCUCCACGCCUCCUGCCUGACACGGCGCCGCCUUGGCCGCCUCGGCACUGUGACAUCCCUCCGCUGGG